UGCGUAGGUGGCGAGCGUUGUCCGGAAUUACUGGGUGUAAAGCGCGUGUAGGCGGCAGGCCAAGUCGGUGGUGAAAGCGCCCGGCUCAACUGGGCGAGGUCCAUGGAAACUGGUCAGCUGGAGGACGGUAGAGGCGAGUGGAAUUCCCGGUGUAGUGGUGAAAUGCGUAGAGAUCGGGAGGAACACCUGUGGCGAAGGCGGCUCGCUGGGCCGGUCCUGACGCUGAAACGCGAAGGCGUGGGGAGCGAACGGG
rnacentral:rRNA from 1 species